rnacentral:rRNA from 1 species
UACAGAGGUCUCAAGCGUUGUUCGGAUUCAUUGGGCGUAAAGGGUGUGUAGGUGGCGCUGUAAGUCGGGUGUGAAAUUUCGGAGCUUAACUCCGAAACUGCAUUCGAUACUGCGGUGCUUUGAGGACUGGAGAGGAGACUGGAAUUCAUGGUGUAGCAGUGAAAUGCGUAGAGAUCAUGAGGAAGACCAGUGGCGAAGGCGGGUCUCUGGACAGUUCCUGACACUGAGACACGAAGGCCAGGGGAGCAAACGGGG